rnacentral:rRNA from 1 species
UGCCAAUGGCACUGCCCGGUAGCUAAAUGCGGAAGAGAUAAGUGCUGAAAGCAUCUAAGCACGAAACUUGCCCCGAGAUGAGUUCUCCCUGACUCCUUGAGAGUCCUGAAGGAACGUUGAAGACGACGACGUUGAUAGGCCGGGUGUGUAAGCGCAGCGAUGCGUUGAGCUAACCGGUACUAAUGAACCGUGAGGCUUAACCUU